GAUGCAGAGGUUUAUCGA
rnacentral:snRNA from 1 species